AAGAGAAAAAAUAAGAUCAUGGCGGCGAAGGCCAAUUCCAACCAGAGUGUGCGUGAGACGGUCCUGACUGUGUAGAAGGUGGUUGCUCAGUGCGGGAAGCCUGAGUCAGAAUACCAGCAGUACCCGUCGAGGAAGAACCUGAAGCAGCGAGCAGACGCUUAAGUCGCAGAAUAUCCUGCUCAGUCAAAGCGAUGGCUGAAGCUGUCGAGGUAGAUGACGAAGUCUCUGUAGAUGAUGAUUGCGUCUCGCGCAAGUGGUUCUUCUUCGUGUAGCAGUGGGACUCAAUAUGACCAUCAUUGUUGCAGUAGCCACAAUGUGGAUGGGGGCGACCUGAGCCUCCAGAAGGAGUGGGCAAGAGCGGUGGAGCACUCGAGUGAGAAGGGGUCGGUGCAGGGGGCGUAGAAGUAGCCCGAGCAGCGAGCACCGAGGGAACCUCCAGCAAACCAGCACCACGUAAGCGAGUCUCCUCAGCACGAAUCUCAGAAAGCGCC
rnacentral:lncRNA from 1 species